AUUGAACGCUGGCGGCAGGCCUAACACAUGCAAGUCGAACGGUAGCACAGAGAGCUUGCUCACGGGUGACGAGUGGCGGACGGGUGAGUAACGUCUGGGAAACUGCCCGAUGGAGGGGGAUAACUACUGGAAACGGUAGCUAAUACCGCAUAACGUCGCAAGACCAAAGUGGGGGACCUUCGGGCCUCACACCAUCGGAUGUGCCCAGAUGGGAUUAGCUAGUAGGUGGGGUAAUGGCUCACCUAGGCGACGAUCCCUAGCUGGUCUGAGAGGAUGACCAGCCACACUGGAACUGAGACACGGUCCAGACUCCUACGGGAGGCAGCAGUGGGGAAUAUUGCACAAUGGGCGCAAGCCUGAUGCAGCCAUGCCGCGUGUAUGAAGAGGGCCUUCGGGUUGUAAAGUACUUUCAGCGGGGAGGAAGGCGGUGAGUUUAAUAAGCUCACCGAUUGACGUUACCCGCAGAAGAAGCACCGGCUAACUCCGUGCCAGCCGCCGCGGUAA
rnacentral:rRNA from 1 species